AUGCCUGAGAGAAAUGUGGUAAGUUGGAAUGCCACGAUUGGUGGGUACUGGAGAAAUGGGGAUGCAGCAUCUGCAUUGUCUUUGUUUGAGAAUAUGUCAUUGCGGACGUAUGUGACUUGGGUUGAGAUGAUUAGUGGGUUUGCGAGGACUGGAGAUACUGUUAGUGCUAGGAGGUUGUUUGAUCAGGUUCCACCGGAGUUGAAGAAUGUGAUUACGUGGACUGUGAUGGUUGAUGGAUAUUGUAGCAAUGGGCAGAUGGAGAUGGCAAGGGAACUUUUCGAAGCAAUGCCCCAGCGCAACUUCUUUGUUUGGUCGUCAAUGAUUUCUGGGUAUUUCAAGAUAGGUGAUGUUGAGGAGGCUAAGACGAUAUUUGAUAGAAUCCCAGUCCGGAACUUGGUAAAUUGGAAUUCGAUGAUGUCUGGAUAUGCGCAAAAUGGAUUUUGUGAGGAAGCUUUGAAAGCAUUUGAGAACAUGCAAGCUGAAGGCUUUGAGCCAGAUGAGUUUACUGUUGUGAGUGUCUUAUCUGCUUGUUCUCAGUCUGGGCUAUUAGAUGUUGGCAAGGAUAUACAUAACAUGUUAAGUCAUAACAGGCUUAAUCAGAUUGUUCACAAUGCUCUUGUAGACAUGUAUGCAAAAUGUGGCGACUUGAUCAAUGCAAGGUUGAUUUUUGAGGAGAUGACUGAGAGGAACAGUGCUUGUUGGAAUGCUAUGAUUUCAAGCAUGGCUAUUCAUGGACAGUGCAAGGAGGCUCUUGAAUUGUUUAGCAGAAUGGGGGAUUCAAAUGAAAAGCCUGAUGAGAUUACCUUUCUUGCUGUUCUGUCAGCUUGUGCGCAUGGAGGUUUAGUAGAUGAAGGCAUGGAAAUUUUCUCCAAGAUGCAGAAGAAAUAUGGUUUGGAAGCCAAAAUUAAGCAUUAUGGGUGCUUAGUUGACCUAUUGGGACGGGCUGGAAGGUUAAGAGAGUGACUUACUCUUUAGUCAAAAAUAUGCCCAUCAAACCCAAUGACAUGGUUUGGGGAGCAACGCUUGGAGCUUGCCGGAUUUAUAUGGAUAUGGAAAUGACAGAACAGGUAGCAAAAGAUAUUAGCACGCUAAAUUCAAGCAUUCGGUCAGCCGAUAAUUCACAUUAUGUGCUUCUGUCAAAUAUUUAUGCUGCUUCUGAUAGAUGGGAAAAAGCUGAGAGGACGAGAAUGGACUUGGUAAACGAAGGCUUUGAAAAGACACCUGCCCGCAGUGCAUUUAUGCCCUGUGGCACAUAGCUUGGAUGCCUUUCAGGGUAAAUCAUGCUCUGUGUUGAGUCGAUCAAUUACUAACUCCAAUCAGCAAGCGGUGAGUACAACGCUUACCAUGAAACUAUUAGUGGCUAUACCAGAGAAGCCAUGAAGCACUA